rnacentral:rRNA from 1 species
GGUUAAGCGACUAAGCGUACACGGUGGAUGCCCUGGCAGUCAGAGGCGAUGAAGGACGUGCUAAUCUGCGAAAAGCGCCGGCGAGGUGAUAUGAACCUUUGACCCGGCGAUGUCCGAAUGGGGAAACCCAGUGUGUUCCGACACACUAUCGUUAACUGAAUACAUAGGUUAACGAGGCGAACCGGGGGAACUGAAACAUCUAAGUACCCCGAGGAAAA